GACGAACGCUGGCGGCGUGCUUAACACAUGCAAGUCGAACGGAAAGGCCCUGCUUUUGUGGGGUGCUCGAGUGGCGAACGUGUGAGUAACACGUGAGUAACCUGCCCUUUACUUUGGUAUAACUUCAGGAAACUGGUGCUAAUACCGGAUAGGAUCUCCUGCUGCAUUGUGGUGUUUGGUAAGUUUCGGCGGUUGGGGAUGGACUCGCGGCUUAUCAGCUUGUUGGUGGGGUAGUUGCUUACCAAGGCUUUGACGGGUAGCCGGACUGAGAGGGUGACCGGCCACAUUGGGACUGAGAUACGGCCCAGACUCCUACGGGAGGCAGCAGUGGGGAAUAUUGCACAAUGGGCGGAAGCAUGAUGCAGCAACGCCGCGUGCGGGAUGACGGCCUUCGGGUUGUAAACAGAUUUCGCCUGUGACGAAGCGUGAGUGACGGUAAUGGGUAAAGAAGCACCGGCUAACUACGUG
rnacentral:rRNA from 1 species